AGUUUGAUUCUAGCUCAGAUUAGACGCUGGCGGGAUGCUUUACACAUACAGAAUGAACGUAUACGGACUUCGGUCUGGUGGCGGGUAACGAACAGUGAAAUAUCAUAUCGGAACGUGCCUAGUAGCGGGGGAUUAACUGCGCGGCAUCAACUAAUACCACACUCGCCCUUCAAAAGCGGGGACCUUCGGGCCUCGCACUGUUAAACUGGCCGAUAUUAUCGGAUUAGCUAGUUGGUGGGGUAACGGCUCACCGAAGGCGACGAUCCGUAGCUGGUUUUGAGAGGACGACCAGCCGCUGGGACUGAGACACGGCUAACCUCACGGGAGAGCAGCAGUGAAAUUUUUGGACAAUGGAAACGUCAGUCAGCCAUCCCGCGUGUGCGAUGAAGGCCUUCGGGUUGCAAAGCACUUUGGCGGGAAAGAAACGGCGCAGGAUAAUGCCCGUGCAACUGACGAUACCUGCAGAAUAGCUGGCUAACUACGUGCCAGCGGCGCAGUAAUACGUAAGGGUGCAAGCGUUAAUCGGAAUUACUGGGCGUAAAGCGUGCGCAGGCGGUUGGAAGAAGAUGUGAAAUCCCAAACUCUUUUUGGAACUGCAUUUUAACUACCGAGCUGGGGAAGGUGUGUCAGAGGGAGGUGGAAUUCCCGCGUGUAGCAGUGAAAUGCGUAGAUAUGCGGAGGAACACCGAUGAGCAGCCUCCUGGGAUAACACUGACGCUCAUGCACGAAAAGCGAUGGGGAGCAAACAGGAUUAGAUGCCUGGUAUGAUUACUGCCACAAACUGAUGUCAACUGGCUGUUGGGGCCUUCGGGUGCUUGUGGCGCGGCUAACGCGUGAGAUUGACCGCCUAUGAGGGAAGUACAAUGCGCAAGAUUAAAACUCAAGGAAUUGACGGGGACCCGCAAGCAGUGGAUGAUGUGGAUUAAUUCGAUGCAACGCAGAAAACCCCUUCCCAUACGACAUCAGUUCGAAGGAUUUGGGAGUGCUCGCAAGAGAACCGGAACACAGGUGCUGCAUAGCUGUCGUCAGCUCAUUAAUCGUGAGAUGUUGGGUUAAGUCCGCAACGAGCGCAACCCUUGUCAUUAGUUGCUGCGAAGGGCUCUAAUGAGACUGCCGGUGACAAACCGGAGGAAGGUGAGGAUGGCGUCAAGUCCUCAUGGCCCAUAUCGGUAGAACUACACACGUCAUACAAUGGUCGGGACAGAGGGUCGCCAACCCGCGAGGGCCGUCGAGCGAUCGUAGUCGGAUCCGCAAUCUCAACUCGACUGCGUGAAGUCAGAUCGCUGGUAAUCCUUGGUUAACAUGUCGCGGUGAAUACGUUCCCGGAGUCUUGUACACACCAUACAAUACACCAUGGGGUGGGUUUUACCCGCUGAUAGUUAGCCUAACAAGCUCUGGAGGGCGAUUACUACAAUGCAGGAUUCAUGACUGGGGGUGAAGUCGUAACAAGGUAG
rnacentral:rRNA from 1 species